CAUGAGCCUAAACUAACAUUACUGAAACUCGGUUUGGACUUCUCAUUUCAGUAGGUUGUCAUAAUUUCUUCACUCUUGUGUUACUUCUUAAACUCAAGUGUUUAGAACUAAAUAUGCAUAAGAAGAGCUAAAAAAUGCUUGAACCUGACACUAUCAAGUAAUAUUGGCCCGCCUUAUUUAUCCAUUAUCCUAAGCAGAAGUAUGAGUGAUUGGAAAAUGAUCUGGUACAUACCGUGUAACUGGUUAAAUACAUUGUUUGUACAUAACCAUCAGCCAUGCGAUUUUGUGCAUAUUAUUUUCAUGCGGUGUAUCAAUUAUCAUGACCAUCAAUUUGUGUUGUCGUUUUGAUUUAUAUAAAGAUUAUAGUGGAACAACUGCAUGCUUGGUUGAUAUGAAAUCCUAAAUCAGAACUCAUAACUAAGCUUGGAACUAUUUUUGAGUCCGUUCAUAUGUACGGAACAAUGUAGUAGCUAGCAAACUGAUAUGUGGUGGACAUGUAGUCUAUUUCAACUUAACAUACUACUCCCUUUGAUUUUUUUUAGCAUAGCGUUAUUUUGUUUUAAAUUGGUUCUCUAUAAAUGGUGAUACCUUCCAUCGAGUUGGCACACAUGGUUUUGGUUGUUCAUUGGCACGGAACAUUGUAUUAUCUGAAAAAUUCAUAGAAUGUGGAUAUGUUGUCUUUUAACUCAACAUGUUACUCCCUUUCAAUUUCUUCACCAUUUUUUUGGUUCUCUAUAAAAGGAGAUAUCUUGCACACAUGGUAACAGCUUUUCCUGUAGGGCUAGAUCAGUGGUUGUGAACCAAUGCAAAUAUUUAUCUUUUCUCUCUGUCACUCUAAGAUAUUACUACUAAAACUUCCAAGUAUGGUAGCCAGACCGUUUUGGCUGAUCAGGUUCAUUAUAUAAAUUCUCUACUAAGUUCUUAAUAUUGUCAAUUAAUCUCUGAUAUUGCAGUUAUUAUAAUUAGCACACAAUACUAGGGGUUAUUGGUGGGAUCAUGCAGUAGUUGGGACUCUCCUCUGGGAUCAAUCUGCCAGGCAGCGGUGCGCCCGCCUCCGGGAUCGAUCUGUCGGGCAGCGACGCGUCGGCACGCCUGCUGCAGCAUACAUUCGACCCACCGCUGGAGCGCAGCCUAGCGAGCAUGCAACGCGAGGGCAAGCCUGACUAGCGCAGUGGAGCGAGCAGGGCAGCAGGCGACCGCGAGGAUGAAGAAUAGUGCUGCUAAAAGUAGCUUAUUUGCAUUGUGGGAAAAAACUUCAAAAACAAAAAAGAGAAGACAUAAAAAGAUGAAUACCUAGCGUCUAAAACCUAGCGCGGCCAGUGGUACCAUCUUGCAAGGAUAAGAAGACAACCAUAGUGUUGACGGUAGCUCGAAGACUGGGAACUCAAGAGUGGAGAAGGCAUGACUAGGAGUAGGGUGCUGUCGCAGACGGUCUGGCCAUGUCCUCUUGCUCCACUCCACGACAUCUAUCUACAAGUGAUCUGAAAAUAAGGUCCACAUUGUUCAGCCAUGUUGAGAACAGAGAAAACAUGUGCAAUAUUAGGCAUUUCAUUAUACAGUGCUACGAAGUGGCUCAAGGAAAAUCUUGUGUAUUGUGUGGCUGACCAAAGGCAAAGACAAAGAGGCCAGGUGAUUAAGUUGAAUUCAUUUUAUUAUUGUUGAAUCAUCUCUAUUAUCUUUUCUCUUACUAUGGACGAUACUCUUUCAGAUAUCACGGUGCACUUCAGUUUUUAUAUUUAGUGUUUAGUCAUUCUAGAUAGUAUAAAAGAUCCAACAAAAGUUUGUACUUUCUAUUACAAAGUACUAUGUUACAACAAAAGGAAAUGUGUUAUCUGUUACAACCGAGCUAGGUACUAAGGCAUUUUCUUGCAAACAAAAUAUGUACCAUACAUUUACCAUUUCCCUAUAUCCAAUAAGUUUGCUUCAUUGGUGCAUUUGACUUACAGUCUAGAAUAGCGACAUGAUACUUCCUUACUAAUUUUGGCCGGGAUGUUUAGCUCGGGUCCUCAACAACAAUAUGGUACCUCAAUGUUUGGUCCUCCACAGCGGUAUGAUGUCAGAGUAACUUUAGAUAUAAAGAACCAGUAUGAUACGUAGGAACUCCAAGGUAUAAAAUAAACAAUACUUUCCAUUUUCAGUUGCAUGAAUGAUUUGAUAUUUCUUAAGAUUACGGGCGCAAAUAUCUAUGGUUUUCAGGUAAUAAAAAAGGAAAUUUUCUCUGAUAUAGAGUAUAACCUUACUAUCUUUUUUGUUCUGUUUUAGUGGAAUUCAUUCUACUUCUUUGAAGACUAACCUAUCAGUUUUUGUAUCCAUUUGACAUGGAAAUUCACUGAUUCUUCUAGAGAUUAUAACAGUGAACUACCGAUCAGAUUAUUACAUCUUCAUGCAAUACCAUUCUUUGUUUUUCUUUCGUUUAGUCUUUCAAUCAUGCUUAUGUUAUUUGUGCAAAACAUUUCCUUUAGAUAUGUUUUCCUUAGGUGCUAUCAUUAAGUGAUUGUUGCUACGAUUCCCCCUGAUGUCAUCGUCUCUUUUCUAACAUAUUGCCACCAGCCAUUCUGCCAUAUAUGUACCUAAAAUGCAACCAUCUAGGUGUGAAUCGUAGAUGCAAAUGUAUUUUGUCAGGUUUCUUCCAUUUUUGGCAUUGGCAUGAUUAUGCACUAUGACAAUUCAACUUCACUUUGAUUUCGAAUAUCCCUUGCAAAUGGCAAAUAUUUUUGCUCACACCUGGCUCUAUCCUUGCCUCACUAUCGUUGACUAACCAUGUUGUACAACAAGUACUGUUUGACAUCAGGAAUAACAAAAGCUAGGUUGAUGAUUAUUGCUAUGUUGAUGGCUGCAGAGUGGCACAAUGGCAGGGUUGGUCCCCGGUAACCGGCUGGGUCGUAUACAUCAUCAACCAAAGAAGGGAUCGUAUGACAUGAAGAGAACAUAGAAGUAAGUAAAUCACCCCUUAAGGAUCCGCUUCAGUGAAAAAACGGUUGUAAUUGAAAUGCUUCUACAACUGGAGAACUUCUCUAUGCCUACAGUAUUCUCCCAUUAAGAGAGUGAGAAAAUUGAAUGGAUCAAAGCAUUAUGUUUCCAGGUCAAAAAAAAUAAAUCAUUGGUUUAUGUAUAUAUAGUAACCUUCAAAUGCAUGCAGUAAUAUAUGCACUAACACUAUUUGAAUUUGCAGAAGUCUGGUUUGGUUACUGUGGUCCCUAAUGUUACACCUCCUUCCAAAGCAACUAAAUAGAAAAAAACGGCACAUUUACAUCACUCAUAGGAGACACGUGGAAUCAUUACUGGUUUCUAAAAUGUGCCAUCAUAAGAUAUAUGUCAAGCUUUGUAUGAAAACAGCCACCGUUAAUCUAUUCAUGAGCCAGUUGUAGAUAUUUCAUCGACAUGGCACUUGGCCAGUUUUUUUGGGGA